AAGCAUGAUAUAUAUCAACUAAAAAAAUAUUACUGUCCUUUUAUUAUUUUAAACAAUCAUAAUAAACAAAGAUUCAUGCACGCUUACGGUAAAAUUUACAAAUCGAUUUUUUUAGAAAUAAAUAACAAUAAUAAUAAUAGCAAUAAUAAUAAUAAUAGCAAUAAUAAUAAUAGCAAUAAUAAUAAUAGCAAUAAUAAUAAUAGCAAUAAUAAUAAUAACAAUAAUAAUAAAAACUACAAUAAUAACACGCAUGACCAAUAUAGCAAACUUCAAAAAUACAAAGUACGGAUAGCUAUAAAGAAAAGACUAAAACAAUAUGAUAUAGGUUUAUUUGCUGGGACCUUUGAUAAAAUACACUAUGGUCAUAUUUUACUUUUCUUUUAUUCCAUCAUGUUAACUAAAAAAUUCUAUUAUAUUGGUUUAUAUAACAAUAAAAAUAUUUAUAAUAAAAAAUAUUCACAAUUUAUCGAUGACAUAGAAGUAAGAAUUUUUCGUUUAACCCAUGUUUUAUUUUUAAUAAAAAAUGUUUACCACAUAGAAUUUUAUUUUCAUAAUUUUCAGCAUGUACUUCCAUAUAUUAAGAUAAAAAAUGCGCAUAAUAUAUUAUAUCAAAUUAUAACAAAUCGAACAAAUGCACAACCUAUAGAAUACGAAAAGAAAAAAUAUCAAAAGUAUGACAAUCUGUAUUACUACGACGACGAAAGUGAUAGUAAUAAAAACACGACGUGUUAUAAUAGCAUUGUGUGUCGUAAACGUAGUCAUAGUAACAGUUGUUGCAAGUACAAAAAGCAUUUUUCUCGUGGGGACUUAAAAUAUGACAUAUUAAAAAAAAAAUAUGUUAACUUAAUCCUAUUAAACAUUGACAAGUGUGUUAAAGAAAGUGCAUCCUGUUCUUCAUUCACAAAAAACAUCAAAAAAAAUAUAAAAAAAUAUUUACACUUUUAUAUUAUCGACAAAAAAAACAAUUAUAAAUGUGAUAAAAAAAUAAUAGUUUUAAACCGAAUACAUGACCCUUUUUCAUUUUCUUUAGACAUUAAAGAUUUGUAUGCAUUAACUAUGUCUAAAGAGUCUGAAGCAAAUGGAAGAAUUGUAGUUCAAAAAAGGAAUACCAUAUUUAACAAAGAAAAGUAUGAAGAUUUGAGUUUAAAAAAAAUCAAAAAUGAAAACCUCUUUUCACAUAAUAAAGAUGAAAACUCUAUCAAUAGUUGUUAUACUAAUAAUAACAACAAAACAAACGAAAAUACUAGCUAUAACAUAAUAAACAACCCGAAUAACAAAGUAAGAACAAUAUUAAAUAUUUUUGAUACUCUUGACAUAUGUGAAGGAGAAAAAAUUAGUGCUACUAUAAUAAGGAAACAAAGUUUUUGUUUAAAGAAAAAUAAAUUUACCAAAUUGUUAACAUAUUUUAUAGAUGCUUGUUUAUUUUUUAAUAUAGAACAUGUUCUUAUACAAAUUUAUAUGGAAAUUUUUCAGCAUAAAACUUAUAAUGUAUUUUACAGCGAACUUUAUAUUAAUAAAGUCAAAAGUUACUUUUGCCGUGCAAAAAAGAGGGUAAAUAACGGUAUGAGGCGCCAAAAAAAAAGGGACACACAAAAAAACGUGUCAAGUGAUGGUAACCUAAAUAACGUACAAAGUGAUGGUAACCUAAAUAACGUACAAAGUGAUGGCUGCCAAAAAAAUGUGCCAAGUAAUGGCUUCCAAAAAAACGUACCAAAAGCCCAAACAAAAAAAAACAAAAAAGAUAAUUACAUUGUUAAUGACUUUUUCAGAAACCUAUUUAUUUUGUUUUCAUUUUUUGCAAACCACUUUGUUAAUGAGAAGAAGUAUAUGUAUAACAAUGUUCAAUUAUUUACACAAAUUUCGAUUUUUUUAUCUUUCUUUUUUUACAAUAAUAUUAUAGCGUUAAUAAUAAAAAAAAAAGAACAACAUGUAAAUCAAAAUUUUGAAACGAACAAUACAAUUAUAGAAAAGAAAAUAAAAGAUAUGUUUGAUACAGACGAAAACAGCAACUUACGCAUUUUCAUAAAAAAUGUAGAACCAAUUAUGCUACAAGAAAUUUUAAAUCAAGUGUUUCUUUACAUUCUUUUAAUUUUAUCAACUUCUACAUUUUGUAAAAUGUUUUAUGAUAAAAGCAUACUUAAAAACGCCAAAAAAAAAAAAAAAAAAAGUAUUCAAGAAAAGUACGACUACUACUACUACCUGACCAUAUGCAAAAUAAUACACACAAAAACUCAGCAAAUAGGUUGAACAGUUAUUAUACACUAUUAUCGACACCCCCCCAAAAAAAAAUAAAAAACGAUUGUUCAAAUUGUUUCGAUCA
ensembl:lncRNA